rnacentral:rRNA from 1 species
GAUGAAGGACGUGCUAAUCUGCGAUAAGCGCCGGUAAGGUGAUAUGAACCGUUAUAACCGGCGAUUUCCGAAUGGGGAAACCCAGUGUGACUCGUCACACUAUCAUUAACUGAAUCCAUAGGUUAAUGAGGCGAACCGGGGGAACUGAAACAUCUAAGUACCCCGAGGAAAAGAAAUCAACCGAGAUUCCCCCAGUAGCGGCGAGCGAACGGGGAGGAGCCCAGAGCCUGAAUCAGCAUGUGUGUUAGUGGAAGCGUCUGGAAAGGCGCGCGAUACAGGGUGACAGCCCCGUACACAAAAGCGCAUGUGCUGUGAGCUCGAUGAGUAGGGCGGGACACGUGGUAUCCUGUCUGAAUAUGGGGGGACCAUCCUCCAAGGCUAAAUACUCCUGACUGACCGAUAGUGAACCAGUACCGUGAGGGAAAGGCGAAAAGAACCCCGGCGAGGGGAGUGAAAAAGAACCUGAAACCGUGUACGUACAAGCAGUGGGAGCCCCACCACUAAGCCAGUGGUGAACUCCACAUACGCAUCCUUUGCUGAGGAUACGGUUAACGGAGCGAAAGCGACGUUCAACCUCAAAAGAAGCAGAGGGGGCUUAGUGGUGGGGUGACUGCGUACCUUUU